rnacentral:rRNA from 1 species
UACGUAGGGUGCAAGCGUUGUCCGGAAUUAUUGGGCGUAAAGAGCUCGUAGGCGGUUUGUCGCGUCUGCUGUGAAAACUCGGGGCUCAACUCCGAGCUUGCCGUGGGUACGGGCAGACUAGAGUGCGGUAGGGGAGACUGGAAUUCCUGGUGUAGCGGUGGAAUGCGCAGAUAUCAGGAGGAACACCGGUGGCGAAGGCGGGUCUCUGGGCCGUAACUGACGCUGAGGAGCGAAAGCAUGGGGAGCGAACAGG